GACGAACGCUGGCGGCGUGCUUAACACAUGCAAGUCGUACGGUAAGGCCCUUUCGGGGGUACACGAGUGGCGAACGGGUGAGUAACACGUGAGUAACCUGCCCACAACUUUGGGAUAACGCUAGGAAACUGGUGCUAAUACUGGAUAUGUGCUCCUGCUGCAUGGUGGGGGUUGGAAAGCUCCGGCGGUUGUGGAUGGACUCGCGGCCUAUCAGCUUGUUGGUGGGGUAGUGGCCUACCAAGGCGGCGACGGGUAGCCGGCCUGAGAGGGUGACCGGCCACAUUGGGACUGAGAUACGGCCCAGACUCCUACGGGAGGCAGCAGGGGGGAAUAUUGCACAAUGGGCGCAAGCCGGAUGCAGCAACGCCGCGUGCGGGAUGACGGCCUUCGGGUUGUAAACCGCUUUCAGCAGGGACGAAGCUUUUUGUGACGGUACCUGCAGAAGAAGCACCGGCUAACUACGUG
rnacentral:rRNA from 1 species